ensembl:ncRNA K03B8.20 ncRNA
GAUUUGAACGUGUUUGCGAUACAAAAGAGCCGGGAGGUCUUCCUCGCCGCUGAGACAGUCGCCACCCGCCACAUGAAAUUAUUUGUUCAAAUUAUGCCUUGUACAAUAAGUGUGCGGCUCCUUGUUCAACCAUGACACUUUUGUUUUCCGAAGAACA